rnacentral:lncRNA from 1 species
AGCGGCCCAAGAAAUGGGAAAAAGACAAAAAAAAAAAAGAAAAAAAUGUUAGCAGUGGAGUGUUUCAGCAUCAAUAUCCUGGUAAUGAUAAUGUAAAACUCUCAUUUUAUAAGACGUUACCGUGGAAGAAAUCUGGGUAAAGGUGAUGCAGAAUUGCCCAGGAGAGAUUGAAGUUUCUGAGGGGAUAGCUGCGUUCUAGUCUUCUGUGUUGUAAAACCACUCAGGGACCUCUAGCAAAUUUGGUGUGGAAAUAUUGGUGUUGGGACUAUCUGACUUUCUUUCUUUGGAAUUAAGAGAAUGUGGAGACUGUUGCCUGAUCUUUGCAUGCAAAAGUCAAAAACCAAAGUCUGGCUGAAGCUAUCUGAAAUAACAGUGCAAAGAGAAAGCUACACCGAAAGUAGGUUGCACUCCCUCCACUGAGGAUGGAGAGGAAGUCCAGGUUCUGGUGGACUACAGAGGGCAUUGGGUCCCUAAGAUGAGUCAGCGCCAGGUGAGAGGCUCUAGAAUAAGGCCUACAUGCAGUGGACCCUGGCAGUGGGGGUGGAGCCCCUCUUCAAACAAAGGUGUGGGGUCAUGGCCAGUAGUAGUGAGCAUUACAGGAGAAGGUUCUCAGCUAACUCGGGUGCAUUGUGGAAGAACGAGAACCUCAGAGUCCCAUGGACGCUUACCUUGAAAGAAAGAGCCAAUAUGGGGCAUCUCUUAGGCCAUUAUUCGGUGUGACUUUCAGUGUGACCAUUGCAGCCUUGCCUUUUUAUUCAUCUGCCAAGCUCUCCAACUUAGGAGAGGCUAGAGACAGCACAGUGCACGGCAAGGGAAUAGUGGAAAAAUAAGGUGGAGAAAGUAACCAAGAUGUGACCCCUGCCUCUCAUUUCCCUCCCACUCCCCAGCCCCGUGCAGAUUUCCAAGCCUGAGACAGGCAUGAUCUGGGAGUAAGAAGCAGGUUUAAGCAAAGUUAAAAAAUGGGGUUUUUUACCUAAAAAUUAGACUGUUUAUUCAUAUCUUAGACUAACCAGAAAGCUUUGAGAUUGGCCUGAGAUAUUUUCCAAGGACAGAAAAUAGAGAUAAAAUAGAUUUUGAAAGACAAGACAGAAUAAUGUCGUUUCCUUCUUUACACUCCACUGAAUCUAGCCUGUUCAAUAAACUGCUAUGCAUGCGUAAAUAGAGAUAUGCAUUUUUAUAGUAUCAUUGUCUUGAUACAAAAAGACUGGAAGUUUGCAUUAUAAAAUAUUAAUGACAUUUAUGUCUACGAGGUGUUAUUUCAGCUAUUUUGUUUUUAAUCUUUUGUAUAUUUUCUAAAUUUUCUAUGAGAACAUUUUACCUUUGUAGUUAGAAAAGUAUUGUUUUAGGACUUCCCCUCACAGCUCAGCAGAAACAAAUCUGACUAGUAUCCAUGAGGAUGCAGGUUUGAUCCCUGGCCUCGCUCAGUGGGCUAAGCAUCUGGCGUUGCCAUGAGCUGUGGUGUAGGUCACAGACAGGGCUUGAAUCUGGUGUUGCUGUGGCUGUGGUGCAGGCUGGCGGCUACAGCUCCAAUUCAACCCCCAACCUUGGAACCUCCAUAUGCUGUGGGUAUGACUCUAAAACAAAACAAAACAAAAAAACAAAAAAACAAAAGAGUGUUAUUUUAAAAUAAUGUUGAAAGAAUUUGGGCACCAAUUACAGGGGAAUGUAACAGGGACCUACAUCUUGUACUUUUUAAGUGUUUGGUUUUUGGGCUAAUCAGCCAGACUUCCUGGAUUUGAGCAAUCUAUGGGAAUAGUAGCAAAGGGUAAUUUUUUUCAUCCAUAAUUGAUGGCUUAUGUAGAUGUGGUUAAUGACUUUUUUUAGCCCCAUAAUUCCUUUGUAUUUUCCCAAAUCAUCAUUUAUUCAUUUUUCUUAUAUGUUCCAGUGUUAUUUUGAAUAUUGAAAUUAUAAAAGUAACUAAGGGUCUCUAUCCUCAAGCAUCUCAGGCCAACAGGUGAGGCAAAGAGGACUACAGAUGUGUGGUCAGUGCUGCCAGAGAACCAUGUCCAAGGUGUCACGGAGUUACAGAAGAGUAGUAUCUAAUCCAAGACGGGGAACACAGGAAAGUUUAUUGUGAAGAGGGAAUCUCUGAGCUGAGAUUUGAAAAUCAACUAGCUAGGCAGAAAAGUGAAGGAACAGAGGGGUGCCAGGCGGUGUGAACACAUGAGAAGGACCAUGAAGACUGGAGAGGCCAUGGUACCUUCUGGUUCACACUGAGUGUGAGAGGACUGAGUGAGAAUGACAGAGAUGGGUCAGAGUAGAAGACCCUUCAAGGCCAGCAGGCAAACAGGCAGUAGGCAAAUGAACUAGACUCUGAGAAUGCAGAGUCUGGAGGAAAUACCAAUUCGGAGGUGAUCAGAAUGGUCCAGGUGGACAAGUAAAAGUCCUAAACAGAAGUGGUAAAGGGACAAAAGAGAGGACUAUUGGUACAUGUGGAUGUAAAGAAUAUGGGGAAAGGAAGAGUCUGGCAACCCCAACUUAUAUCUUGUAUAAAAAGUUUAGUCUGUAUUAACACAUAGAGUGCCUUGUGGGAAUGGCUAAAGGACACUCCCUCUUGACAGGUAAAUGACCAUUCCUGGGAAGAAAUGACAAAGAGGUAUAACCUUCCUCUGAGAUGCUCUAGAACAUGUCAACCCUGCAGCUGGGCACAUAGUUUGGCAAGCACGGCAUGGACUGGAUUUCAGUCCUCACUCAUCCUGUCAGCUCCUAUCCUUUGCGAAGUGAACAAAUCAUAGAACUAGAGGCCAGCUAGAAGGAGUUUCUUAAAGCUCAUGAUCUUUUCUGGGUUUGUAUCAAAGGAGUCCUGGGAGGUACAGAAAAUCAAAGGAACAUCACAUAGAAAUGUUUUACCCCUGCUUCGCUGAAUUUAGACAUUAACAGUGUGUUGUUGCUGUAGCAUUGAGAGAAGACAUUUAUGAGCUGUUACAUUCACCAACAGGUUGUUCUCCCUCCCAGCAAUUUGAGAAAAAAAAAUAUGUUAAUAAUAUCUUCAUUAGGAAAAUAUUGUUAUUCUUGUAUAAAAAGAUCAGCUGUUUUUUCUAUAUUAUUUCUACUACAUUUGGGACCAACAUUACUUCUGUAGAAAAAAGAAAAAAGCGAAGAAUACAAGUGCAGUUGUUUGCCUUUCAAAAUGCUUCUUUUUGCAGAAUACUUUUUGAGCAAUACAAAAUGUGUCUUACAAGCUGUGUUCAAAUUUCCCUUCAUAGAUUAGCAGGUCAACAGGGUUUUUAGAGACUAUCCAACCACCCCUAAAACCAUUUAUGUAUUAAGCAGCUGCAAAUAGGAUAGGGUAUCUCAUUCAAGUCAUUAAACUGAAACUCCAUAGCAGAGUUCAUAUUAUUAAUAAAUUUGACAAUCUUAAUGGAAAUGCUGCUAGUGCAGUAUAUAACAUUGAUCUUAGGAUUGCGAAGAGGUUGGAGAGUACAAGUAAUUUCAUCACAAAUAGUGUAUUGGUAAUUAAUUCAAGAAAAGUGAUCAGUUUCCUACCCAACACCACAGAGUCUUUCACAUUCAUGUUCUUUUUACUUUAGAGGGAGAAUCAAAUCAGCUGGAAAUAGUACCAUAAUCCUGAACUUAAAGAUGAACUCAGUAGUAAGAAUGUUUGGAAAAGUCUGCAUAAAACAUGUGAUAGCAUUCAUAAGAAAGAUUUACAGUGCAAUUGUAAGUUAACAUUGUUAUAUACUGCUGUUAUUUAAUCUUAUUAAUUUCUACAUCCCUGGAACUUAGGCACACUAUCUGACACCUAGUAAGUGCUUUAAAAAUGUUAAGGUACUCAUUAGUGGAACAGUCAUUAUAAUUGUAUUAACCUACUGGUUUCUGGGUCUUGCCUUCUUGACUAUGGCAUUAGCAACAUAGAGAAAUUAGGCAGUGAAGCAUCCCCAGAAUGCAUUAUUUAUAUUUUUAGCAGUUUAAACAGUUUUAAGACUCUGUAGAUGAUCUGCUAGAUGGAAAACAGAGUUAUAAUGAUAAUUUGCACUGGAUCAACAAAACUAAGUUGAAAAUGAGCAGGAAUGGUUAUUUAAAAUCAUUGCCACCUGAGGUCCCAUCAUGGCUCAGUGGUUAAUGAACCCAACUAGCAUUCAUGGUGAUGCGGGUUCGAUCCCUCGUCUUGCUCAGUGGGUUAGGAUCCAGCAUUGCCAUGAGCUGUGGUGUAGGUCGCAGAUUCGGCUCAGAUCCCGAGUUACUGUGGCUGUGGAAUAGGCGGGCAGCUACAGCUCCAAUUCAGCCCCCAGUGUGGCAACCUCCAUAUGCUGUGGGUGUGGCCCUGAAAAGAC